rnacentral:rRNA from 1 species
CGUGUAGGCGGCCGGGCAAGUCGGAUGUGAAAUCCCGAGGCUCAACCUCGGAACUGCAUUCGAAACUGCUCGGCUCGAGUCCCGGAGAGGAUGGCGGAAUUCCCGGUGUAGGGGUGAAAUCCGUAGAUAUCGGGAGGAACACCAGUGGCGAAGGCGGCCAUCUGGACGGUGACUGACGCUGAGACGCGAAAGCGUGGGGAGCAAACAGGAUUAGAUACCCUGGUAGUCCACGCUGUAAACGGUGAGUGCUAGACGUCGCGGGUAUUGACCCCCGCGGUGUCGAAGCUAACGCGUUAAGCACUCCGCCUGGGGAGUACGGCCGCAAGGCUAAA